GGAAGCCGGUGGUGCCGCCAGGAAUCGCGGACCCGGACUUCACUGGCGGGGCGCAUAAAACUCGAGCCCUAUCGCUCCCCUGUGGAUACACCAAGUCGAAGCAAGUAGUCCCCGUGUCGUGUAUGCGUACAGAGCGAUGGGAGAGGGUGUCGACCGUGCCACCGCCGUAGACUCGCCGUUGGUCAGCCUCCCAGUCGCGGUGGUCUGUCCAGGGUGUAUCAGCGGACUCCGCCGCGUGUGCUGGACCAACCCCUGGGUCGGUUGCGUCUUCCCAUCGGCGACAAUUGCUCACCGGAGCUGCGACUGCCGCCAAGCCACAUCUCCGCGGGCAUCGAGUUCUCCGCGUCGCCGGACCUAGGUAAGACUUCCCCGAAUCUCCUCCUCACCUUCAUCAAAUGUAGAACCGGGUGAUUGAGUCCCCUGUUGCGCUGGAGCACGCUUAUUGCUCGUCGGCGUGAUUAGAACCACUGUUGUCCGCCCUCCUCGGUAGACAGUGGGUUUUAAUGAUCUUACACACGAAUUGACUCACUAGAACGAUUCGCCGCGUUGCGGGCUUGGCGUAGGGCUUAGGAAUUAAAUUUUGGUGCACUGGCGAGGCAGCGCGGUCAUCUCCGGCGAUGCGCCGCCGCGCAGUUGCGUCACCACCGCGCUCGGCCGCUGGAAUUGGGGAAGAAAGGUGACUGUCGGCCGACCGUUGGAUGCCCAACGGAUGGCCAAGAUUAAAUGAUGCGCAUACCCUUUGGUGAGAUCGCAUCUGGGCCGUCGGUUGUAUGGCGGGCGAUGUAGAUUAGAUCUGGGGAUUUUAAAUCGUGGCCGUUGGGUGGAUCGGAUGGCCAGAAUUGAUUGCGGGGUUCAGGGGACGUCAGAUCUAAUCCGGGCCCUCGGUUCUGGAUCUAGCGGCUCACAUCCAACCGUACCCCUUCGCGGGUACAUUUUGCUAAAGAAACCCUAGGGUAUUUUAUAAUGAACCCGCCGUCCUACUUCCACUAUUCCCUGUGUCACUGGAUUCUUACCCCGAGCCCCCUGUGAUUAAUUGAAAUUGUGGCCCAGUCCAGAACCCAUUUAAUUUGAAUAAAUGAAAUAGAAAAUGGAUUUUUAAUAUGAAAAUAAUUACUAGAACUUAAUUAAUUCAUAGAAACUUCAUACUAAGUCCAAAUUAAUCCAUUCCAAUUUCUAUAAUUUUGUAAUAUUAUUGUUUAUCAUUUAGUACCACUGUUUUGACAUGAAUAUCACAAUAGAAUUUAUAUCCUAUUUAAUCUUGUACAAAACACAUGAAACCUUUAGAAAUUCAUAACUUAAAAUCUAUAACUCCAAAAUUAACGAUUUCUGUUCCUAGAAUCUUAUUUUAAUGUGUAGAUUAUUAUUAUGUAUUUUGUUUACAUGUUUGGUGUGAUGUUAAUUUUGCCUACACCAUGUUUGUCUGUAUUGCUACGACUAGUGCGAGGUCACGUGUCAUCCGAAGAUCAUCCUGGUACCUGGAAUCUCAAGUCCCAGGCAAGUUGUGCCCUUGAUCACUUCUUUUACCCACUCAUGUUCUAAUUAAUCAUAAUGAUCUGCAUAGGUUAAUUUUGAUGGGACCCAACAGGUUACCCUAGUUUGACUAUCUUUAUACCUUGAUUACCACUGGACUUUUUGGGUAGUACUUGCUAUUGCUUUAUGUGGUUUUGGGUAUGAAGAUUACACUAUUCAUGAUUAUACUUUUGUUAUCAGUUGUUAUUUAUUGUUCAUGUUAAGAUCAUUAUGUUAAUUGGAACAUGGAGAACCACCCGGGAAAAUAGUGCUACCACAAGGGUUUAUGGACGCCCUUGGCUGACUAAUUAGGAAAGCUAGUGGAGGACUACCUUACCCGAAAGGGGCAAGGGCAGUAGGGGAGUGGUCAGUGUAGGGAGGCCCUCGGGAGGAUUUUGCUGUGAUGGCGGUCCUGCAAGGGAUUCCUGGGGAGGCCCUCGGGAGGAUUUUGCUGUGAUGGCGGUCCUGCAAGGGAUUCCUGGGAAGGAGCUUCCUAUAAACUGUAGCGGGUUUUCUGAAGCUAGUGGAACUUUGUAAAGGCCUCGUAGUGUUACCCUGCCUCGCCUCCUCGGUAGAGGUGUAUGGGAAGUCGCGAUCCCUUGGCAGAUGGGUAACAUGACUUGUGGGUAAAGAUGCGCAACCUCUGCAGAGUGUAAAACUGGUAUACUAGCCGUGCUCACGGUCAUGAGCGGCUCGGACACUCACAUGAUUAAUCUAUGGAACUUAAAUUCAAUUUGUCAUAUGCAUUGCAUCGCAGGUGAUGUUGUUACUUCUGUUCUACUAUUUAAUUGGGUUGGUAUUUACUUAUACUUAGUAAUGGCUAAUAAAAUUUUGACCAACUUUAAAAGCAAUGCUCAGCUUCAGCCAUCAUCUUUGGUAAGCCUUACACUUCACAUGAACUCCCACCUUUGGCGAGUUCAUUCACAUUAUUCCCCACAACUUGUUGAGCGAUGAACGUAUGUGAGCUCACUCUUGCUGUCUCACACCCCACCCCACAGGUCAAGAACAGGUACCGCAGGAUGAGGCGCGUGGAGGAUGCUGUGAUGUGUUCGUGAGAGAUCUAGGCCGUCGUCUCCCAGUCAACUUUGGGUUGCUGGACCGUUGUCUCCUUAUAAUGUAAUUACUUAUUUAUUUUGUAUAGAACUCCUGUUAGAUAGUAAAGAUGUGACAUUCGAUCCUGUGCCAUGAUUCAUCAUAUGUGUGAGACUUGGUCCCAGCACACCUGGUGAUUAUGUUUACGCCCGGGUUUUGGACCCCUAAAAUCCGGGUGUUACAGGCUAAGACACGGAAGACGGCGAACUCCGCUCCGCCCGACCCCAGGGCUCGGACUCGGGCUAAGACCCGGAAGACGGCGAACUCCGCUCCGCCCGACCCCAGGGCUCGGACUCGGGCUAAGACCCGGAAGACGGCGAACUCCGCUCCGCCCGACCCCAGGGCUCGGACUCGGGCUAAGACCCGGAAGACGGCGAACUCCGCUCCGCCCGACCCCAGGGCUCGGACUCGGGCUAAGACCCGGAAGACGGCGAACUCCGCUCCGCCCGACCCCAGGGCUCGGACUCGGGCUAAGACCCGG
rnacentral:lncRNA from 1 species